GACGAACGCUGGCGGCGUGCUUAACACAUGCAAGUCGAACGGAAAGGCCCUGCUUUUGUGGGGUGCUCGAGUGGCGAACGGGUGAGUAACACGUGAGUAACCUGCCCUUGACUUUGGGAUAACUUCAGGAAACUGGGGCUAAUACCGGAUAGGAGCUCCUGCUGCAUGGUGGGGGUUGGAAAGUUUCGGCGGUGGGGGAUGGACUCGCGGCUUAUCAGCUUGUUGGUGGGGUAGUGGCCUACCAAGGCUUUGACGGGUAGCCGGCCUGGGAGGGUGACCGGCCACAUUGGGACUGAGAUACGGCCCAGCCUCCUACGGGCGGCAGCAGUGGGGAAUAUUGCGCAAUGGGCGGAAGCCUGAUGCAGCACCGCCGCGUGCGGGAUGACGGCCUUCGGGUUGUAAACCGCUUUCGCCUGUGACGAAGCGUGAGUGACGGUAAUGGGUAAAGAAGCACCGGCUAACUACGUGC
rnacentral:rRNA from 1 species